GACGAACGCUGGCGGCGUGCCUAAUACAUGCCAGUAGAACGCUGAGGAGAGGAGCUUGCUCUUCUUGGAUGAGUUGCGAACGGGUGAGUAACGCGUAGGUAACCUGCCUUGUAGCGGGGGAUAACCAUUGGAAACGAUAGCUAAUACCGCAUAACAAUGGAUGACACAUGUCAUUUAUUUGAAAGGGGCAAUUGCUCCACUACAAGAUGGACCUGCGUUGUAUUAGCUAGUAGGUGAGGUAAUGGCUCACCUAGGCGACGAUACAUAGCCGACCUGAGAGGGUGAUCGGCCACACUGGGACUGAGACACGGCCCAGACUCCUACGGGAGGCAGCAGUAGGGAAUCUUCGGCAAUGGGGGCAACCCUGACCGAGCAACGCCGCGUGAGUGAAGAAGGGUUUCGGAUCGUAAAGCUCUGUUGUAAGUCGAGAACGGGUGUGAGAGUGGAAAGUUCACACUGUGACGGUAGCUUACCAGAAAGGGACGGCUAACUACGUG
rnacentral:rRNA from 1 species